rnacentral:tRNA from 1 species
AGGGACUUAGGAUAGUAUUCAGACCAAGGACCUUCAAAGCCCUAGACGGGAGUGAAAGUCUCCCAGUCCCUG